rnacentral:rRNA from 1 species
GACAGAGGCCCCAAGCGUUAGGCGGAAUCACUGGGCUUAAAGCGUGUGUAGGCGGACGCCUAAGUGUCUUGUGAAAUCCCACGGCUCACCCGUGGAACUGCUGGGCAUACUGGGCGUCUUGGGCCAACUAGGGGCAGCCGGAACAAGCGGUGGAGCGGUGAAAUGCGUAGAUAUCGAGAGGAACACCUGCGGCGAAGGCGGGUUGCUGGGCUGACACUGACGCUGAAGCGCGAAAGCUAGGGGAGCGAACGGG